rnacentral:rRNA from 1 species
GAGUUUGAUCAUGGCUCAGGACGAACGCUGGCGGCGUGCUUAACACAUGCAAGUCGAACGGUGAAGCGCCUUCCUUUUUGGUGGGUGUGGAUGAGUGGCGAACGGGUGAGUAACACGUGAGUAACCCGCCCCCUUCUUCUGGAUAACCGCAUGAAAGUGUGGCUAAUACGGGAUAUUCUGUGCCUGCUGCAUGGUGGGUGUGGGAAAGAUUGCGCUUUUUUGGUGUUUUUGGUGGGGGAUGGGCUCGCGGCCUAUCAGCUUGUUGGUGGGGUGAUGGCCUACCAAGGCGGUGACGGGUAGCCGGCCUGAGAGGGUGGACGGUCACACUGGGACUGAGACACGGCCCAGACUCCUACGGGAGGCAGCAGUGGGGAAUAUUGCACAAUGGGCGCAAGCCUGAUGCAGCGACGCCGCGUGAGGGAUGGAGGCCUUCGGGUUGUGAACCUCUUUCGCCAGUGAAGCAGGCCUGCCUCGUUUUGUGGGUGGGUUGACGGUAGCUGGAUAAGAAGCGCCGGCUAACUACGUGCCAGCAGCCGCGGUAAUACGUAGGGCGCGAGCGUUGUCCGGAAUUAUUGGGCGUAAAGAGCUCGUAGGCGGCUGGUCGCGUCUGUCGUGAAAUCCUCUGGCUUAACUGGGGGCUUGCGGUGGGUACGGGCCGGCUUGAGUGCGGUAGGGGAGACUGGAACUCCUGGUGUAGCGGUGGAAUGCGCAGAUAUCAGGAAGAACACCGGUGGCGAAGGCGGGUCUCUGGGCCGUUACUGACGCUGAGGAGCGAAAGCGUGGGGAGCGAACAGGAUUAGAUACCCUGGUAGUCCACGCCGUAAACGUUGGGCACUAGGUGUGGGGGGCCUUUUCCGGGUUUUCCGCGCCGUAGCUAACGCAUUAAGUGCCCCGCCUGGGGAGUACGGCCGCAAGGCUAAAACUCAAAGGAAUUGACGGGGGCCCGCACAAGCGGCGGAGCAUGCGGAUUAAUUCGAUGCAACGCGAAGAACCUUACCAAGGCUUGACAUGUGCCGGUCGGCUCCGGAGACGGGGUUUCCUCCUUGUGGGGCCGGUUCACAGGUGGUGCAUGGUUGUCGUCAGCUCGUGUCGUGAGAUGUUGGGUUAAGUCCCGCAACGAGCGCAACCCUUGUCUCGUGUUGCCAGCACGUUGUGGUGGGGACUCGCGGGAGACUGCCGGGGUCAACUCGGAGGAAGGUGGGGAUGACGUCAAAUCAUCAUGCCCCUUAUGUCUUGGGCUUCACGCAUGCUACAAUGGCCGGUACAGAGGGCUGCGAUACCGUGAGGUGGAGCGAAUCCCUUAAAGCCGGUCUCAGUUCGGAUCGGUGUCUGCAACUCGACACCGUGAAGUUGGAGUCGCUAGUAAUCGCAGAUCAGCAACGCUGCGGUGAAUACGUUCUCGGGCCUUGCACACACCGCCCGUC